rnacentral:lncRNA from 1 species
CAGAGGUUUGGUGGAUGAAGAUUGUCUUGCUGUGUUCUUGGGCCAAUAGAAAGGCAGCUGCUGGCAGUCAAGUUAUGUGAAAGAAAUAAAGAAGUGUGUCUGUGUAAAAGGAGGCACAGAGGGACAUCUGUCCAGGAAGUGAAGACCAGAGUCAGGGGACCUUCAGAACCUGUCUUUCCUUCACAUGAAUUCAGGGUCUCAGUCUGCCACCCUAGCUGGAGUGCAGUGGUGUGAUCAUCGCUCACUGAAGCCUGGAACUCCUGGGCUCAAGUUUCCUCCUGCAUCAGCCUAAGUAGCUGGGACUACAGGUGUGCAUCACCACCGUGCCUGGCCUGAAAAUAUUUAUUGAAAACCACCUUGUGUACAGAGUGCUGUGGAAGGAUGAAGAAGACAUUGGAGAUCUUCAUUCUGUUGUUGAGGAACUACCAUCUAAAUUGGAGCUGAAAGCCUGUGAAAAUUGAUGUAAAUGCUUAUGAAAUAGCGGAGAAAGGACAAAUGAGCACUUCGACAAAGAAAGGGGAGGGACAGGAUAUUUUGUGUUUCUUCCCACUCUGACAGUGGCUGCCAGAGGCUGCCUUUCUGCAGCAAACUUCCCAUGUUUUCUUUUUAUAAGGUUUUUGGCCACCUAUUAAUUUUCUUCAGCCUUCUCUGGUUGAUCUUGUUCUGAUUUAGUUUCCUUUUGGGCAAGGAUGUGGGUCUAAUCAUUAACUCAGCCUACAGGCUUGUUGCCUUCAAAGAGUAACUCCUUCAAUCCAGGGGGCUGCGGUGGGGAAACAAAUAUCCAACACUUUUAAAGGAAAGCCAAAAAAAAAAAAAAAAGAAUUUAAAUUUUGCUCUUUGAAAAUAAGAGAAGGGGCCGGGCGCGGUGGCUCACGCCUGUAAUCCCAGCACUUUGGGAGGCCGAGGCGGGUGGAUCAUGAGGU